rnacentral:misc_RNA from 1 species
GAAUGCAGAUUCCUGUCGAGCUUGCUCACGGGAUUUCAUCAUAUCCAUAACACCUGUGCACUUGUUGGAUGGUAUAACAGAGCCCUAGUGGUGAAGUUGUCCAUCUAAUUUACACUAAACAAUCCUGUAACAAAUGUAGUCUUAUUAUAACAUAAUAAAACUUUCAACAACGGAUCUCUUGGCUCU